rnacentral:rRNA from 1 species
AACGGGUAGCUAAUACCGCAUAACGUCGCAAGACCAAAGAGGGGGACCUUCGGGCCUCUUGCCAUCGGAUGUGCCCAGAUGGGAUUAGCUAGUAGGUGGGGUAACGGCUCACCUAGGCGACGAUCCCUAGCUGGUCUGAGAGGAUGACCAGCCACACUGGAACUGAGACACGGUCCAGACUCCUACGGGAGGCAGCAGUGGGGAAUAUUGCACAAUGGGCGCAAGCCUGAUGCAGCCAUGCCGCGUGUAUGAAGAAGGCCUUCGGGUUGUAAAGUACUUUCAGCGGGGAGGAAGGGAGUAAAGUUAAUACCUUUGCUCAUUGACGUUACCCGCAGAAGAAGCACCGGCUAACUCCGUGCCAGCAGCCGCGGUAAUACGGAGGGUGCAAGCG